GAAUACCGGUAGUCAACUGAGAAUUUUAGGGUCUGAGUCCAAUUUAGAGACAGUUCAGACAUAAAAUACAGCAUUGCCCUUAUUUUUUCAGCCUCCGUUUACAGUUUAGGGGAACUAAUAAAUUGGAGAUUUGGAAGAACUUAGGUGAGCUAUCUAACCCUUGAGGAGCUGAGGUGAGCUACCCACCCCCUGAAGAGCUGAGGUGAGUUACCCACCCCCUGAAGAGCUAAGGUGAGUUACCCACCCUCUAAAGAGCUGAGGUGAGCUAUCCACCCCCUAAAGAGCUGGGGCAAGCUAACCACCCCCUGAAGAGCUGAGGUGAGUUACCCACCCCCUGAAGAGCUGAGGUGAGCUACCCACCCCCUGAAGAGCUGAGGUGAGCUACCCACCCCCUGAAGAGCUAAGGUGAGUUACCCACCCUCUAAAGAGCUGAGGUGAGCUACCCACCCCCUGAAGAGCUGAGGCAAGCUAACCACCCCCUGAAGAGCUGAGGUGAGUACCCACCCCUGAAGAGCUGAGGUGAGCUACCCACCCCUGAAGAGCUGAGGUGAGCUACCCACCCCCUGAAGAGCUGAGGUGAGCUACCCACCCCCUGAAGAGCUGAGGUGAGCUACCCACCCCCUGAAGAGCUGAGGUGAGUACCCACCCCCUGAAGAGCUGAGAUUUCCAGACAGGAGUAAAAGGCAAGUGCUGUGCAAGCAUUGUGUUGAGACAGAUGGGACUGAAGAAGGAAUAAAAAGAGGAAAGGCAGGUGCGGGAGGCAGUUGUGAAGCAAUGGGUUAGGGCAAACACUAUGGCAGCUAGUGGGAAGAACUUUGAUGUUUUGGGGGAGAACGGCAUUAAAGUUACUUCAGCUUCUUUGGUUUUGGAGCAUGUUUUUAGAUGUGACAUUUCUCUGCCCUGUCUUUUAAUGAUGUGUCCCAGCAACAGACUCGAUUGCAGCAUAGCCCUCAGAGCGAAGUGUAUCUUGGAGAGAUCUGCUGAAGUAGGGGUUUGCAACUUUCUUUACGAGGGGACGGAUCCAGAUCGCUGGAUCAGAUUCUGGAUGGAAUGACUCAAAUGUUGGAACAAAGUCAGCAGUGGUGUGAGACAGACAUCUUUUUCUCUUCUACACAGGCAAAAUCAGAGCUUAAUAAAAUCUCACUGUGUGUGUACCACAUUUUUACUACCCCUUCAUCUGUUGAUGGACAUCUAGGCCAGAUCCAUUUCCUUGCAAUUGUGAGAAGAGGAGCAAUGAACAUGGAUAAACUUCUGCACAAGAAAAGGAACCGUCAACAAAGCCAACAGCCAGAUUAUAGAAUGGGAGAGAAUGUUUGCCAGCUUUCCUUCAGACCAGUGGCUACCAGCUAGAAUUUAUAAAUAACUGCGAAAAUUGAGCUUAUUUCCUUGUAAUCGCACAGUGACAGCCAACAAGUACGGGAUGCUCAUUUCAUUCAAGGGCUUAGGCACCUGCUUCUGGACAUUGGGCCACUAUUUGGGGCUCCAUACUAUUUUACAUACUGGAUUCAUUGUAUCAAAGGGUGCCAUUCACUGGAGGAUACAUUGCACACCAACAACAAAGAAAAAUGGGUGUAGAGGUUAGAACAGGGAAUUUCAGAGAGGCGUCCUGUUGGUGACAUCUAUUUCUUAUGUGCACAUCCCACUGUCCAGAAAGCCAGUCACACGACUAUCUAAGUGCCAGUGAGACUGAGCAAGGCCAUCUUAACAUGUCCAAGCAGCCUAACAAGAGAUAGGCACUUGACCUCCUUUCUCAGUUGUGCACUGCACACAACUCCUCAAGUCCUUGGAAUCUCUGGAGUGCUGAGUGUUUUAUGGACUGAGAUAACUGUUUGUCCAGACUCUGGUUGUUUCACGAUGUGACCUGACCAGCAAGACAAACAAGAGAUAACAGAGCUGGCCAUGCUUGGACCCCUCAGGUCUCAGAGGUGGGAGGAGCUGUACUGAGUUGAGUCACCAAGGGUGAAGAAUGCAAUCAGUCAUGUCUGUGUAGCAUAAUCUCCAUCCUGCAUGAGAACCCUUAAUUUAUCUGCUGGUCAGAAGUACAAGGAGCCCAGGAUUUGUGACCAAUAUCUGAGAUAAAGGGUUUUGUGAGGUGGAGCCAUGGAGUCUGUGUAGUGACAGUGACAGAGCUGAACUGAGAUCUAGGACACUCAGUUGGUGUUGGGAAUCAAUUGGGAAACCUCACAAUUGGUAUUAGAAUAUGGAGAAGAAAACAGCCGAGUGUUCAAGAGACAAAGGAAAUAAAAACUGACAAACAAAGCCA